rnacentral:misc_RNA from 1 species
GGCCAACACCUCUCUCACUUAUUCAUUCACUCUCUUGCCAACUUGAGGACAUGCUCUCUCUCUCUCUCUCUCUCUCUCUCUCUCUCUCAAACUCCCAGAAUAUCCCACUCUUACUUAGAUCCCCAUCUUUGUGAGUGAGAUUUGAGUGAGCUCUUCAUUGAAUUCGACUCUAGAGAUCAUUCAGUGUACACUGAAGACUACAUUCCUCUGUGGGUAAAUGCUGCUUGGUGCCCAUCACUUCAUGGUCACCAGAUGCUGGACAGCAGCCAGAACCAUGUUUCAGGCUGGCACUGUCCAACCGACAGCCAGGACCGUAGGCACAGCUCACUGCUCCCUUUCAAAUUCUAAAACCGCAAAGCAUCAGCAUCCAGAGUGUGAUGGCCAGCUCGCUGUUGCAUACGCUGCCAAUAUCAGCUCUCCUUGUCACACACAGAUGCAACCCAGAGGAAACAAACAUCAAUGGAUCUCCAUUAACAAGAUGUUUUAUUUGCUAUAUCUGUUGGGUACAACAUGGCAUUUGCCUAAAUGAUUUUACUAUAUGGACAGGAAAUACUUCUACAGUACAAAUGCAGUCAGAAGGGGAAAAAAUCAGGGGAAGUAGUAGAUAAACAGGAGAAACCACACUGCUCAAUCAGCCUUGGUCUGCUGUGCUUGGUUGAGCUUAACCGGGCGCGCCUCGAGACCACCUCCCUUGCGGGUCUCCAGAGUGUAAGGCAUGUAUGUUCCAAGGAUCUUGUCCCACAUGACAAAGAAGGGCUGAGAGAAGUUGUACUUGUUGCCGUAGAGCUGAUGGUGGAUGUCAUGGUAAGCGCUGUUGUUGCUGAAGAAUACAUGGAGGAUGUUCCCAGGAAGCCACAGACCACAGUGGUCGUCGACGGUCUUGAUGGUCGCGAACGAGAAGAAGAAUAUGCCAGUCCUUGGGGUCAUGCCAGAGAUGAGGAACGAGAGCGCGCCACCGAUGGUGUCCAGGAUGAGUCCCUCCAGGGGGUGGUUGUACAGAGCUCCAAAAGCGUAGGGGACGACAAGAGUGUGGUGCUUAGAGUGGACGUGCUUGUACAAGAACUUGUUGAUGUGCAUGUAUCUGUGCAUGAAAUACUGCCAUGUGUCCAUGACAAACAUUGCAACGAUAAAUUGCAACGCCAAUACCAGAGCCGGAGGUUGCUUCCUCACAGCCCCAUUCUCA